rnacentral:rRNA from 1 species
AGAGUUUGAUCCUGGCUCAGAAUCAACGCUGGCGGCGUGCCUAACACAUGCAAGUCGAACGAGAAAGGGUAGCAAUACCUGAGUAAAGUGGCGCACGGGUGAGUAACACGUGGCUAACCUACCCUGAAGUGGGGAAUAACUGAGGGAAACCUUAGCUAAUACCGCAUAACACCUACGGGUCAAAGGAGCAAUUCGCUUCAGGAGGGGGUCGCGGCCGAUUAGUUAGUUGGCGGGGUAAUGGCCCACCAAGACGAUGAUCGGUAUCCGGCCUGAGAGGGCGCACGGACACACUGGAACUGAAACACGGUCCAGACUCCUACGGGAGGCAGCAGUGGGGAAUUUUGCGCAAUGGGGGAAACCCUGACGCAGCAACGCCGCGUGGAGGAUGAAGUCCUUCGGGACGUAAACUCCUUUCGAUCGGGACGAUUAUGACGGUACCGGAAGAAGAAGCCCCGGCUAACUUCGUGCCAGCAGCCGCGGUAAUACGAGGGGGGCGAGCGUUGUUCGGAAUUAUUGGGCGUAAAGGGUGCGUAGGCGGUUUGGUAAGUCUUAUGUGAAAUCUACAGGCUCAACUUGUAGUCUGCAUGAGAAACUGCCGGGCUUGAGUAUGGGAGAGGUGAGUGGAAUUCCUGGUGUAGCGGUGAAAUGCGUAGAUAUCAGGAGGAACACCUGUGGCGAAAGCGGCUCACUGGACCAUAACUGACGCUGAUGCACGAAAGCUAGGGGAGCAAACAGGAUUAGAUACCCUAGUAGUCCUAGCCCUAAACGAUGACUGCUUGGUGUGACGGGUACCCAAUCCCGCCGUGCCGUAGCUAACGCGUUAAGCAGUCCGCCUGGGGAGUACGGUCGCAAGGCUGAAACUCAAAGGAAUUGACGGGGGCCCGCACAAGCGGUGGAGCAUGUGGUUUAAUUCGACGCAACGCGAAGAACCUUACCUGGGCUCGAAAUGUACAGGAAUCCGGUAGAAAUAUCGGCGUCCCGCAAGGGACCUGUAU